GAUGAACGCUGGCGGCGUGCUUAACACAUGCAAGUCGAACGAAGCCCUCUGUUUGAUUGCCGUCGGGAUUGAUUAUUUUGUGAAUGAGUGGCGGAGGGGUGAGUUAACCGUGGGUAAGGUGUCUUGUAAAGGGGGAUAACCUUCGGAAACGGCUGCUAAUGCCGCAUAAUCGCACAGCAUCGCAUGAUGCAGUGGGAAAAACUACGGCGGUAUAAGAUGGACCCGCGUUGGAUUAGCUAGUUGGUGAGGUAACAGCCCACCAAGGCGACGAUCCAUAGCCGACCUGAGAGGGUGACCGGCCACACUGGGACUGAGACACGGCCCAGACUCCUACGGGAGGCAGCAGUGGGGAAUAUUGCACAAUGGGCGAAAGCCUGAUGCAGCGACGCCGCGUGAGCGAAGAAGGCUUUAGGGAUGUAAAGCUCUAUCAGCCGGGAAGAUAAUGACGGUACCUGAAGAAGAAGCACCGGCUAACUACGUG
rnacentral:rRNA from 1 species